GACGAACGCUUGCGGCGUGCCUAAAAAAUGCAAGUCGAGCGGAGAGCAGCAAUGUUCUUAGCGGCGAACGGUCGCGUAACACGUAAGCAACCUGCCCCGAAGACCGGGACAACCCUCCGAAAGGGGGGCUAAUACCGGAUGUGGUCACGAAGGGACAUCUCUUUGUGCCUAAAUCAUUUAUGGCUUCGGGAGGGGCUUGCGUCCUAUCAGUUAGAUGGCGAGGUAACGGCUCACCGUGACGACGACGGGUAGCUGGUCUGAGAGGAUGGUCAGCCGGACUGGGACUGAGAGACGGCCCAGACUCCUACGGGGGGCAGCAAUUAGGAAUCUUGUGCAAUGGGGGCAACCCUGACACAGCGACGCCGCGUGGAGGAAGACGGCCUUCGGGUUGUAAACUCCUUUUGAUGAGGAAGAAACAAAUGACGGUACUCGUCGAAUAAGCCCCGGCUAACUCCGUGCCAGCAGCCGCGGUAAUACGGGGGGGGCGAGCGUUGUCCGAAGUUACUGGGCGUAAAGGGGCGCGUAAGCGGGGUGUCCCGUCCGCUGUGAAAGCCCGGGGCUUAACCCCGGCGGGUCCGUGGAUACGGAACCUCUUGAAAGGCGUUAGGGGAAAGAUGGAAUUACCCCAUGAAGCGGUGAAAUGCGUAGAGAUGGGUAGGAACACCGGUGGCGAAGGCGGUCUUCUGGGACGUCCUUGACGCUGAGGCGCGAAAGCUGGGGGAGCGAACGGGAUUAGAUACCCCGGUAGUCCCAGCCGUAAACGAUGGAUACUAGAUGUCGCGGGUAUCGACCCCUGCGGUGUCGUCGCAAACGCAGUAAGUAUCCCGCCUGGGGAGUACGGCCGCAAGGUUGAAACUCAAAGGAAUUGACGGGGGCCCGCACAAGCGGUGGAGCAUGUGGUUUAAUACGUCACUAACCGUAGAACCUUACCAAGGCUUGACAUCCUCUGCACCGGCGUGAAAGCGUCGUCCGAGCAAUCGGCGGAGAGACAGGUGUUGCAUGGCUGUCGUCAGCUCGUGUCGUGAGAUGUUGGGUUAAGUCCCGCAACGAGCGCAACCCUCAUCCCCUGUUGCCAGCGCGUAAUGGCGGGAACUCUGGGGAAACUGCCGGUGCAAGCCGGAGGAAGGUGAGGACGACGUCAAGUCAGCAUGGCCCUUAUGCCUUGGGCUACACACAUGCUACAAUGGACGGUAAACAGAGGGAACCGAAGCCGCGAGGUGGGGGAAAUCCCAGAAAUCCGUUCUCAGUUCGGAUUGCAGGCUGCAACUCGCCUGCAUGAAGCCGGAAUCGCUAGUAAACGCAGAUCAGCGAAGCUGCGUUGAAUUCGUUCCCGGGCCUUGUACACACCGCCCGUCACGUCACCUGAGUUGUCUGCACCCGAAGCCGGUGGGGUAACCGCAAGGAGCCAGCCGUCGAAGGUGUGG
rnacentral:rRNA from 1 species